rnacentral:rRNA from 1 species
AUUGAACGCUGGCGGCAUGCCUUACACAUGCAAGUCGAACGGCAGCACGGGAGCAAUCCUGGUGGCGAGUGGCGAACGGGUGAGUAAUAUAUCGGAACGUGCCCAGUCGUGGGGGAUAACGUAGCGAAAGCUACGCUAAUACCGCAUACUAUCUAUGGAUGAAAGCGGGGGAUCGCAAGACCUCGCGCGAUUGGAGCGGCCGAUAUCAGAUUAGGUAGUUGGUGAGGUAAAGGCUCACCAAGCCGACGAUCUGUAGCUGGUCUGAGAGGACGACCAGCCACACUGGGACUGAGACACGGCCCAGACUCCUACGGGAGGCAGCAGUGGGGGAAUUUUUGGACAAUGGGCGCAAGCCUGAUCCAGCAAUGCCGCGUGCAGGAUGAAGGCCUUC